UAAAGGACAAGGACAGUGUGACUGUACUCGGUGAUGGCAGGAUGGAUUCACCAGGGCACUGUGCGCAAUAUUGCACAUACACUACAAUAGAACUCGAGUCCAGAGACAUCAUCCACAUUGAAAACAUAGACAAAAGGGAGACAAAUCGAAACUCCGUGGUGAUGGAGAAGGAAGGCUUCAUCAGAACACUGGAUGCUCUGCUGCUGGAAAUCCCUGUUAAAG